rnacentral:lncRNA from 1 species
UGAGCUCGCCAUAGCUCGAUUCUCUCUCUCUCUCUCUCAAUCUCCCUCUCUCUUUUAUUGCGCCUCAUCUAUGUGUGUUCGCAAACGUAAUCUCAGGAUCCCACGAUUGUUACAUGACUUGACUACACAAGUGUUAUGCUAUUUGAAUCAAUGAGGAGAGAGUAUCCACUGUGGUUGUUCAAGCUGAGUCUGGAUGAAGAAUUCAUUUCUUGGGAAGCUAAAAUGAAGUUCUUCAU